GUGGGAGCUGGCUUGCCUGCGAUGGCUGACUCACAGCCAAUAUCCCAGUGGCUGACACACCGCAAUCGCAGGCAAGCCAGCUCCCAC
rnacentral:misc_RNA from 1 species